rnacentral:rRNA from 1 species
UACGUAGGGUGCGAGCGUUGUCCGGAAUUACUGGGCGUAAAGAGCUCGUAGGUGGUUUGUCGCGUUGUUCGUGAAAUCUCACGGCUUAACUGUGAGCGUGCGGGCGAUACGGGCAGACUGGAGUACUGCAGGGGAGACUGGAAUUCCUGGUGUAGCGGUGGAAUGCGCAGAUAUCAGGAGGAACACCGGUGGCGAAGGCGGGUCUCUGGGCAGUAACUGACGCUGAGGAGCGAAAGCGUGGGGGAGCGAACAGGG